CAUGCAUGUCUCAGUACAAGCCAAAUUAAGGUGAAACCGCGAAAGGCUCAUUACAUCAGAUAUGGUUCCUUAGAUCGUACCCACAUUUACUUGGAUAACUUUUGGUAAUUCUAGAGCUAAUACAUGCAAACAGAGCUCCGACCGGAGACGGAAGGAGCGCUUUUAUUAGAUCAAAACCAAUCGGCGGCGGGCGCGAGCUCGUCGUCGUUCACUCUGGUGAAUCUGAAUAACUUUCUGCUGAUCGCACGGUCUAGCACCGGCGACGCAUCUUUCAAAUGUCUGCCUUAUCAACUGUCGAUGGUAGGUUCUGUGCCUACCAUGGUCGUAACGGGUAACGGGGAAUCAGGGUUCGAUUCCGGAGAGGGAGCCUGAGAAACGGCUACCACAUCCAAGGAAGGCAGCAGGCGCGCAAAUUACCCACUCCCGGCACGGGGAGGUAGUGACGAAAAAUAACGAUACGGGACUCAUCCGAGGCCCCGUAAUCGGAAUGAGUACACUCUAAACCCUUUAACGAGGAUCAAUUGGAGGGCAAGU
rnacentral:rRNA from 1 species